rnacentral:rRNA from 1 species
UCAGUGACACAGAAGGAUAACUCGAGCAGGGUGAUGGUCAACCCUGUGCAAGCAUUGAGGUUGGGUUGUAGUGAAGUACGCAAUCCUAUAAGCUGAGAUGUGAUGCGGACCGAAAUUUCAGUAGGGAAGCGAGUGAGUUCACGCUGGCGAGAAAAGCUGCUAGUACAUCCAAAGGUACCCGUACCGGAAACCGACGCAGGUGGGCGAGGAGAGAAUCCUGAGACGAACGGGAGAACCCUUGUUAAGGAACUCGGCAAAAUGACCCCGUAACUUCGGGAUAAGGGGUGCCUGCGAGAGCAGGCCGCAGAGAAUAGUCACAAGCGACUGUUUAGCAAAAACACAGGUAUCUGCGAAAGCGAGAGCUGACGUAUAGGUGCUGACACCUGCCCGGUGCUGGAAGGUUAAGGGAACAUGUUAGAGCAAUCGAAGCAUCGAACCGAAGCCCCAGUAAACGGCGGCCGUAACAAUAUCGGUCCUAAGGUAGCGAAAUUCCUUGUCGGGUAAGUUCCGACCCGCACGAAUGGUGUAACGACUUGUGAGCUGUCUCAACAGGGGGCCCGGUGAAAUUGAAGUAUGGGUGAAGAUGCCCAUUACCCGCGACUGGACGGAAAGACCCCGUAGAGCUUUACUGCAGCCUGAUAUUGAGUUUCGGUAACUGAUGCACAGGAUAGGUGGGAGUCUGAGAGACAUGGGUUUCGGCUCAUGUGGAGACGGUGUUGGGAUACCACUCUUCGGUUACUGAAAUUCUAACAUAGCUCUGUGAAACCAGAGGAUGGACAGUGUCAGGUGGACAGUUUGACUGGGGCGGUCGCCUCCGAAAGAGUAACGGAGGCGCCCAAAGGUACCCUCAGAAUGGAUGGAAACCAUUCGAAGAGCGCAAAGGCAGAAGGGUGCCUGACUGCGAGAUUGACAAAUCGAGCAGAGACGAAAGUCGGGCUUAGUGAUCCGGCGGUAUUGAGUGGAAAAGCCGUCGCUUAACGGAUAAAAGCUACCUCGGGGAUAACAGGCUGAUCUCCCCCAAGAGUCCACAUCGACGGGGAGGUCUGGCACCUCGAUGUCGGCUCGUCGCAUCCUGGGGCUGAAGCAGGUCCCAAGGGUUUGGCUGUUCGCCAAUUAAAGCGGCACGCGAGCUGGGUUCAGAACGUCGUGAGACAGUUCGGUCCCUAUCCAUCGUGGGCGUAGGAGUCAUGAGAGGAGCUGUUCCUAGUACGAGAGGACCGGAAUGGACGCACCACUGGUGCAACUGUUGUCGUGCCAACGGCAUAGCAGGGAAGCGAAGUGCGGAUGGGAUAAACGCUGAAGGCAUCUAAGCGUGAAGCCCACCUCAAGAAUAAGACUCCACAAUAGACCCCUGGAGGACUACCAGGUAGAUAGGUCUUCGGUGGAAGCGCUGUAAGGCGUGUAGCUUGAUGAUACUAAUCGGUCGAAAGCUUC